GGGCGUAAAGAGCUCGUAGGUGGUUUGUCACGUCGUCUGUGAAAUUCCACAGCUUAACUGUGGGCGUGCAGGCGAUACGGGCUGACUUGAGUACUGUAGGGGUAACUGGAAUUCCUGGUGUAGCGGUGAAAUGCGCAGAUAUCAGGAGGAACACCGAUGGCGAAGGCAGGUUACUGGGCAGUUACUGACGCUGAGGAGCGAAAGCAUGGGUAGCAAACAGGAUUA
rnacentral:rRNA from 1 species